rnacentral:rRNA from 1 species
AACAAACGCUGGCGGCGUGCCUAACACAUGCAAGUCGUACGAGAAAGGGUCCUUCGGGGCCUGAGUAAAGUGGCGCACGGGUGAGUAACGCGUGGAUAAUCUGCCCUUCAGUUGGGAAUAACUCAUCGAAAGGUGGGCUAAUACCGAAUAAUGCUGUGAGACCUCGGUGAUCAGCCAAAGAGAGCCUCUGCUUGCAAGCCCUCGCUGAAGGAUGAGUCCGCGUACCAUUAGCUAGUUGGUAGGGUAAUGGCCUACCAAGGCGACGAUGGUUAGCUGGUCUGAGAGGAUGAUCAGCCACACUGGAACUGAGACACGGUCCAGACUCCUACGGGAGGCAGCAGUGAGGAAUCUUGCGCAAUGGGGGCAACCCUGACGCAGCAACGCCGCGUGAGUGAGGAAGGUCUUCGGAUCGUAAAGCUCUGUCGGAUGGAAAGAACCGCAUAGGGGUAAACAGCCCCUGUGUCUGACGGUACCAUCAAAGGAAGCUCCGGCUAACUCCGUGCCAGCCGCCGCCGUAAUAC